UGCUUGCACUGGUCAAUCUAGUGGCGAACGGGUGAGUAACACGUGGGUAACCUGCCCAUCAGAGGGGGAUAACAUUCGGAAACGGAUGCUAAAACCGCAUAGGUCUUCGAACCGCAUGGUUUGAAGAGGAAAAGAGGCGCAAGCUUCUGCUGAUGGAUGGACCCGCGGUGCAUUAGCUAGUUGGUGAGGUAACGGCUCACCAAGGCCGUGAUGCAUAGCCGACCUGAGAGGGUGAUCGGCCACAUUGGGACUGAGACACGGCCCAAACUCCUACGGGAGGCAGCAGUAGGGAAUCUUCCGCAAUGGACGCAAGUCUGACGGAGCAACGCCGCGUGAGUGAAGAAGGUUUUCGGACCGUAAAACUCUGUUGUUAGAGAAGAACAAGUGCUAGAGUAACUGUUAGCACCUUGACGGUAUCUAACCAGAAAGCCACGGCUAACUACGUGCCAGCAGCCGCGGUAAUACGUAGGUGGCAAGCGUUGUCCGGAUUUAUUGGGCGUAAAGCGAGCGCAGGCGGUUCCUUAAGUCUGAUGUGAAAGCCCCCGGCUCAACCGGGGAGGGUCAUUGGAAACUGGGGAACUUGAGUGCAGAAGAGGAGAGUGGAAUUCCAUGUGUAGCGGUGAAAUGCGUAGAUAUAUGGAGGAACACCAGUGGCGAAGGCGACUCUCUGGUCUGUAACUGACGCUGAGGCUCGAAAGCGUGGGUAGCAAACAGGAUUAGAUACCCUGGUAGUCCACGCCGUAAACGAUGAGUGCUAAGUGUUGGAGGGUUUCCGCCCUUCAGUGCUGCAGUUAACGCAUUAAGCACUCCGCCUGGGAGUACG
rnacentral:rRNA from 1 species